GGGAGCGCGGCAAGCGGAUGGAGCCAGCGAGAAACACAUAGCCAGGGUUCUGUCGCAUGACCCCCGACGGCACCUGCUCCCCAUCAGCAGCAUCAUACUCCGCUGGGAGGAUUCUUAGAGAAGAAAAGUGCUGAUUUAAGAGAAACUGCAUUAUUUGUGAAAUACAAAAUUCAUCUUGUGGGUGUAAGAGAUGCCUUCGUGGACGGAUGAAGCUCCUGGUACUAAGUAGCAGGAGUGCAGUGAAGCUGCUGUGUUCUCCAGCUCGUAGUUAAGGGCCAGUCAGGAUCAGACAUCUUGCCCUGAUGGAAAAGAAGAUGAACAGAUACCUCCUGACCUGGAUAGCAAUUAAUUCUGGGGACCUAGAUCCCCAAGGACUUUAGGAUGAGGCAGCAGUUUGGAUUUAGGAUCAACAUGGUAUUUAAAAUAUAAAAGCAUUGUAGUGUUGGGGAAGCAUCAUUUAAAAGAACUUGUGGGGUCCCUGUCAGGCCCCUCUUGAGACAGGCCAGCCCCACAGAAGAGAAGGCCUAGGGCUGGCUCCCUAGGGUUGUGAGAAACUCCAGAACAGUGUUGACUUCUUUCUUCCCCUAGGGUCACACCAGCAUGUAGCAUGAUGCCUUGCACACAGUAGGUGCUCAGUAAACACUUUUGGACCACUGAAUGCAAUGACCAAUGGAUAAAAACAUUGUUCUUCCCUUGACCAGAUAAGACCCGCUUCCCUGGGCGUCCACAGGCCGCUGGUGAUGCACACUCUUCUCUGUGUGGCCUCUGCCUGCCGGGGGAAGCCUUGUGACCAGUUUCUCCCCGCUGAGUCAAGGGAGAAUGAGGGGGAGCAUGAACAUUUGCUUGUUUCCCUUAUGGCUUCUGAAUCUUUAUUUUAUUUUUUUUAAUGAAAAUGUCUACUUGAAUUUAGGUAAGGAAGACCUUGCUCUUAGUUUUUGAAUUUUGAACUAGAAAAAAAAAAAAGGUCUUUCAAUGAACACUAGCAGAACAGUCUAAGCAAUCAUGAUAAAGACCUAAUUCCUGCCUCUUUCUCCUGCUCUGAUGGAGCUGAUGACAGCACAAAUGGGAGAGGGAGAAUGUAGCAAGGACACUGAAGGACAGAGAGUUGUCCAAGCCACCAGGAAGGUGAAAGUGGGAAUUCAUUUUCUGUGCCAUUGGGUGGUUCCUUAGGAAAAAACGUAGACAAAGAAAAAUAUUGUAUUAUUUGUGGAAAUCAAGUUCGUAUUGCAGGUGUAAGAAAUGUCUUUGUGGGUUGACAGCA
ensembl:lncRNA novel transcript